rnacentral:rRNA from 1 species
UACGUAGGGUGCGAGCGUUAAUCGGAAUUACUGGGCGUAAAGCGUGCGCAGGCGGUUCUCCAAGUCCGUUGUGAAAGCCCCGGGCUCAACCUGGGAAUGGCAGUGGAAACUAGGGGACUGGAAUCUGGCAGAGGGGGGUGGAAUGCCGCGUGUAGCAGUGAAAUGCGUAGAGAUGCGGCGGAACACCGGUGGCGAAGGCGGGACUCUGGGCCGAUACUGACGCUGAGGAGCGAAAGCGUGGGGAGCAAACGGG